GCAGGUUGCCGGGCAUGGUUUGAACCGGAAGUUUGAACAGCUUCUGCACACGCAUGGUCUGGCAAGUCCGGCAGUGAAAAUUUAAAGAACAAUCUGAUAUCUGAAGAAGUCUGCCCUUGGCAAGGUAAAGGCAACACCUGACUGAUCUAUUGGCUUCCCACAGAGGUGUUGCAUUUAAGACAAAAAGAUUCAUGCAUUUGCCUCAGUCAGUAUUGCUGUAAACCUAAACCUCACGGAAGGCUAUUAUAGCAUCGGGAACAGAUGGUGAAGAUUUCCAUAAAACAGAAAGGGAAACAGACUUGUCUGAAGUGAGGUCACUAUUCUCUUUCAUGAGGACUCUACUCUCGUGACCUAAUCACCUCCCAAAGGCCCUGCCUCCCAAUUCCAUCAGGCUGCGUGGAUGAACACUGCUUCCAGGACUCACAUAAUUGCACCUAAAGUCAUAGCAUGUUACAGCUGGAGGAACGCUGAGAGUUUGCCCAAGAUCCUUCACCAGCAUUUUACAGCCACCUUAAUGCGCUGCCCUGAAGGGUCACCCCAUGCUCCUCGAUUUAGAAGGCCUGGAUUAGAAAGAAGGUUACCAACCACCCCUGUCAAGAGUUGCCUGAGGAGACAUGACUGAAUGUAAUAUGGUGUCUUGAUGGGCUCCUGGAACAGUAAGGACA